rnacentral:rRNA from 1 species
UCCAGACUCCUACGGGAGGCAGCAGUGGGGAAUAUUGCACAAUGGGGGAAACCCUGAUGCAGCAACGCCGCGUGAGUGAAGAAGUAUUUCGGUAUGUAAAGCUCUAUCAGCAGGGAAGAAGAAAGACGGUACCUGACUAAGAAGCCCCGGCUAACUACGUGCCAGCAGCCGCGGUAAUACGUAGGGGGCAAGCGUUAUCCGGAUUUACUGGGUGUAAAGGGAGCGUAGACGGCUGUGCAAGUCUGAAGUGAAAGCCCGUGGCUCAACCGCGGAACUGCUUUGGGAACUGUUUUGCUGGAGUAUGGGAGGGGUAAGCGGAAUUCCUGGUGUAGCGGUGAAAUGCGUAGAUAUUAGGAGGAACACCAGUGGCGAAGGCGACUUACUGGACUGUAACUGACGUUGAGGCACGAAAGUGUGGGGAGCAAACAGGAUUAGAUACCCGUGUAC